rnacentral:rRNA from 1 species
UACAGAGGGUGCGAGCGUUAAUCGGAAUUACUGGGCGUAAGGGGCGCGUAGGCGGUAAGAUGUGUCCUAUGUGAAAGCCCCGGGCUUAACCUGGGAAGUGCAUAGCAAACUGUCUAACUAGAGUAUAUGAGAGGGUGGCGGAAUUUCCGGUGUAGCGGUGAAAUGCGUAGAUAUCGGAAGGAACGUCAAUGGCGAAGGCAGCCACCUGGCAUAAUACUGACGCUGAGGCGCGAAAGCGUGGGGAGCGAACAGG